rnacentral:rRNA from 1 species
UGGGGAAUAUUGGACAAUGGGCGAAAGCCUGAUCCAGCCAUGCCGCGUGUGUGAAGAAGGUCUUCGGAUUGUAAAGCACUUUAAGUUGGGAGGAAGGGCAGUAAGUUAAUACCUUGCUGUUUUGACGUUACCAACAGAAUAAGCACCGGCUAACUUCGUGCCAGCAGCCGCGGUAAUACGAAGGGUGCAAGCGUUAAUCGGAAUUACUGGGCGUAAAGCGCGCGUAGGUGGUUCGUUAAGUUGGAUGUGAAAGCCCCGGGCUCAACCUGGGAACUGCAUCCAAAACUGGCGAGCUAGAGUAUGGCAGAGGGUGGUGGAAUUUCCUGUGUAGCGGUGAAAUGCGUAGAUAUAGGAAGGAACACCAGUGGCGAAGGCGACCACCUGGGCUAAUACUGACACUGAGGUGCGAAAGCGUGGGGAGCAAACA